CAUGCAGUCGAGCGGUAACAUUUCUAGCUUGCUAGAAGAUGACGAGCGGCGGACGGGUGAGUAAUACUUAGGAAUCUACCUAGUAGUGGGGGAUAGCACGGGGAAACUCGUAUUAAUACCGCAUACGACCUACGGGAGAAAGGGGGCAGUUUACUGCUCUCGCUAUUAGAUGAGCCUAAGUCGGAUUAGCUAGAUGGUGGGGUAAAGGCCUACCAUGGCGACGAUCUGUAGCUGGUCUGAGAGGAUGAUCAGCCACACCGGGAMKGAGACACGGCCCGGACUCCUACGGGAGGCAGCAGUGGGGAAUAUUGGACAAUGGGGGAAACCCUGAUCCAGCCAUGCCGCGUGUGUGAAGAAGGCCUUUUGGUUGUAAAGCACUUUAAGCAGUGAAGAAGACUCCUCGGUUAAUACCCGUGGACGAUGACAUUAGCUGCAGAAUAAGCACCGGCUAACUCUGUGCCAGCAGCCGCGGUAAUACAGAGGGUGCAAGCGUUAAUCGGAAUUACUGGGCGUAAAGGGAGCGUAGGUGGCUCGAUAAGUCAGAUGUGAAAUCCCCGGGCUCAACCUGGGAACUGCAUCUGAUACUGUUGAGCUAGAGUAUGUGAGAGGAAGGUAGAAUUCCAGGUGUAGCGGUGAAAUGCGUAGAGAUCUGGAGGAAUACCGAUGGCGAAGGCAGCCUUCUGGCAUAAUACUGACACUGAGGCUCGAAAGCGUGGGUAGCAAACAGGAUUAGAUACCCUGGUAGUCCACGCCGUAAACGAUGUCUACUAGUCGUUGGGUCCCUUGAGGACUUAGUGACGCAGCUAACGCAAUAAGUAGACCGCCUGGGGAGUACGGCCGCAAGGUUAAAACUCAAAUGAAUUGACGGGGGCCCGCACAAGCGGUGGAGCAUGUGGUUUAAUUCGAUGCAACGCGAAGAACCUUACCUGGUCUUGACAUAUCUAGAAUCCUGCAGAGAUGCGGGAGUGCCUUCGGGAAUUAGAAUACAGGUGCUGCAUGGCUGUCGUCAGCUCGUGUCGUGAGAUGUUGGGUUAAGUCCCGCAACGAGCGCAACCCUUGUCCUUAGUUACCAGCGGGUUAAGCCGGGAACUCUAAGGAUACUGCCAGUGACAAACUGGAGGAAGGCGGGGACGACGUCAAGUCAUCAUGGCCCUUACGACCAGGGCUACACACGUGCUACAAUGGUAGGUACAGAGGGCAGCUACACAGCGAUGUGAUGCGAAUCUCAAAAAGCCUAUCGUAGUCCAGAUUGGAGUCUGCAACUCGACUCCAUGAAGUAGGAAUCGCUAGUAAUCGCGGAUCAGAAUGCCGCGGUGAAUACGUUCCCGGGCCUUGUACACACCGCCCGUCACACCAUGGGAGUUGAUUGCACCAGAAGUGGAUAGCUUAACCUUCGGGAAGGC
rnacentral:rRNA from 1 species